rnacentral:rRNA from 1 species
CGUACACUCCUACGGGAGGCAGCAGUGGGGAAUAUUGCACAAUGGGCGCAAGCCUGAUGCAGCCAUGCCGCGUGUAUGAAGAAGGCCUUCGGGUUGUAAAGUACUUUCAGCGGGGAGGAAGGCAAUACGGUUAAUAACCGUGUUGAUUGACGUUACCCGCAGAAGAAGCACCGGCUAACUCCGUGCCAGCAGCCGCGGUAAUACGGAGGGUGCAAGCGUUAAUCGGAAUUACUGGGCGUAAAGCGCACGCAGGCGGUCUGUCAAGUCGGAUGUGAAAUCCCCGGGCUCAACCUGGGAACUGCAUUCGAAACUGGCAGGCUUGAGUCUUGUAGAGGGGGGUAGAAUUCCAGGUGUAGCGGUGAAAUGCGUAGAGAUCUGGAGGAAUACCGGUGGCGAAGGCGGCCCCCUGGACAAAGACUGACGCUCAGGUGCGAAAGCGUGGGGAGCAAACAGGAUUAGAAACCCCAGUAGUCCCAUG